rnacentral:rRNA from 1 species
UACGAAGGGGGCGAGCGUUGUUCGGAUUUACUGGGCGUAAAGGGCGCGCAGGCGGUCCUGUUUGUCGAGUGUGAAAGCCCCGGGCUCAACCUGGGAAUGGCGCUCGAAACGGCGGGACUAGAGAUCGGGAGAGGAGCGUGGAAUUCCCAGUGUAGAGGUGAAAUUCGUAGAUAUUGGGAAGAACACCGGUGGCGAAGGCGGCGCUCUGGACCGAGACUGACGCUGAGGCGCGAAAGCUAGGGGAGCAAACGGG